rnacentral:misc_RNA from 1 species
GUGAAUCAUCGAAUUUUUGAACGCAAAUUGCACUCUCUGGUAUUCCGGAGAGUAUGCCUGUUUGAGGGUCAGUUUAAAUAAAAAUCGGUGUGUUGGCUGCCUUUCGUGGUGACGCACCGGGUUGGGUUCGUCUUGCCUUCUGUUAAGGGACCUAAAAUUUGGCAUGAUUUUUUCGAACGUAUUUAAAUGAUUUGACGUACGUUUGCGAUAUCGAGUACUAGGUUUGGUGAUCCUCA